CUGUUACUUGUGUCUCUUUCCUGGUGGCUGCAGGUUCAAAUUUAACAGACCCUGCAUACAAACUGAAAAGAGUCUGCUAUCAGGUUCAUUAACUAGCUGAAUACCCUUAACGGCGUAUGCGUUUACGCUUGGUUUUACCAUCCUACAACCAUUCUGGGUGAAUUAUCCAUCUCUAUUAAAAGUUGGUCCUAUAUAUAUGGGCUAUGGAUGUUUUAUAUCCAUGAAGGCCUUUCUUCCUUUUUUUGUGAUACCAUACAGAAACCCCUGAUGAAGUCGUUCUGACGAAAUGCGUUGGGUCGAAUCCGUUACGGUCUCUUAUCUAGUUCAUCAGUAAACCCCACAGAAUAUACACCUAUAAGGGUGAGGGUGUUCUUUAAAGGCUUGAACAGUUAACCUAUUGACUGUAUCUGGAUGUAUUUCUUUUAAGAAUGUUUAUAUGUAUGGAACCUUUUAUCUGUAAACAAUGUU